GAUGAACGCUAGCUACAGGCUUAACACAUGCAAGUCGAGGGGCAGCACUAGGUAGCAAUACUGAGGUGGCGACCGGCGCACGGGUGCGUAACGCGCACCCAACCUUCCCGUUACUCAGGGAUAGCCUUCCGAAAGGGAGAUUAAUACCUGAUGGUGUUUGAAUUCCGCAUGUUAUUCAAACUAAAGAUUUAACGGUAACGGAUGGGGAUGAGUGACAUUAGGUAGAUGGCGGGGUAACGGCCCACCAUGCCUACGAUGUCUAGGGGUUCUGAGAGGAAGGUCCCCCACACUGGAACUGAGACACGGUCCAGACUCCUACGGGAGGCAGCAGUGAGGAAUAUUGGUCAAUGGUCGGAAGACUGAACCAGCCAAGUAGCGUGAAGGAUGAAGGUUCUAUGGAUUGUAAACUUCUUUUAUACGGGAAUAAAACGUCCCACGUGUGGGAUCUUGUAUGUACCGUAUGAAUAAGCAUCGGCUAACUCCGUGCCAGCAGCCGCAGUAAAAC
rnacentral:rRNA from 1 species